rnacentral:lncRNA from 1 species
UAAAGAUAAUGAGAUGAUUCUAUAUACUACUUGAACAGGACCUGGUACAGCCUUGUACCACUAUAGUAAAGACGUCUUGUCUUGCUCGAGUUUGUCCUUGGCGUAUCGUUUGUAUGGAGAAGUAUAAUAUAUCAGAGGCGAAUCCAGGAUUUUAAGCUUAGUUUUCGGAUUACGAUCCUUUUUGCUAUGUGCAUUUUAAGUGGAUAUCUCAACACAAAUACAUGAUUUGAGCCAAAGCUACUGAAUUCUGCCGUAUAUCCGUUCGGCCGAAGCCUGUAGCUUUCAUCAAACCUUGUAUUUGUAUUGAGAAAUCCAUUAUAUGUACAAAAAUCAAAUUCAGAAACCAGUUACUAACAUCUAUAAACUGGUAAAGUUGUUGCGAUGUGACCAGGAGGUCACAGGUUCAGGCCGUGGAAACCUAAGUUGCUCGGACUCUCCAAAAAUGUGGCCGCACCCGUGUCUGAUCCUUUAAAAAAUGCAUUACUUUUGAAGGAUCCGACACGUACCCAAUGACAUUGUUUAAGAGUCCCAAGCAACAUAGGUGGAAACAACCUCUGGCAGAAAUGCAAGAUAAGGCUGCGUACAAUAGACCAGGGGCGGAUCUAUUAAGGGUUCUCGGGGUGGCAAUCCACCCGCAAACUUCGAUGAAAACUCUAUAUAUAAAGAGUGUGUGUGUAUAUAUAUAUAUAUAAUGUAGUAUAUAAAUAACAAACUUGCCACCCAAACAACCAAAGUGGCCUGUUGUUUAGGUGGCACAAGGCUGUUAAUUUCACCCAACAGGCCCAGGUUCGAAAUUUGCAUGACAACAUGCCUUUUUAGUAAGUUUUAUCAAUCACUACAGUGUACCUCUGAAAAAUUUCUUGUUUUCUCGAGUUCAGUAUUUACUAUAUAAAUAUAAUUUUUUUUUAAUCAUGUAUAAAUAGCAUUGUUUUUCGUCGAAGGAGAUUCAAUGAACCUCUUGUCCAUAAGUUGGCUCGGAUUUACCAUUUGGAGUCUCCGAUUAAUUUAAUCAAUGAGUCUACUUGACAUCCGGAGACUCCAAAUCCUGGAUCCGCCUCUGAGCUAGAGUGUGUAUGGUAUGGAGGAAAAUUCAUUUAACAAAAUUAUUUUCACUUCAUGACUGUUAUAAAAUAACUAAGAAUAGAGAUGAUGGGGGUCUAUCGGAAACAGCCUUGCUACUUCUCCGGAGGUAGUGGUAUGGACUGUGUACAUCUUACCCUCCCCAAACCUCACUAUGUGGGAAUACACUGGGUUUGUUGUUGUUGUAGUCUACUUGGCACUUGGAGACUCCGAAUCCUGGAUCCGCCUCUGCAAUAGACCCUUGUGGUCUGGCCAUUCUCGAACCUCGUGCAUAGCUAGCGAGAGCUUUGGUGUAUCGGGCUGCCGUUUUUAGUUACUAAUAUCUUGCAAACUUACUGCAGGAUGAUUUGCUUCAACACAGGUUGCAUGGAAGAGACCAUAUGAUGCAGUUUGUGAAAAUGAAAAACAAGUUCAGUGUUGAAUUUGUGAAUGAUUUGCAAUUUGUAUUGUGUGAAUAUGUUAAUGUAAAAUGUAAUGUGUGGGAUUAUAAGUACAUCAAAUUUUAAAAAAAUUCAACAUUUUGCAAUAAGCACAGUCAAGGUUCUUGAAAUUUACUCAAUGCUACUGUUAAAGUUUGUGACCCGAAUUUUGUUGAUUCGCGCUGAAAAGUUCGUGGUGCGACCCACAUUUGUGAUUUUUUAUGGGGUCUGCGGUGGUAGCGGAGGGAUCGCACGUAAAUCU